UACGUAGGUGGCAAGCGUUGUCCGGAUUUACUGGGCGUAAAGAGCGCGCAGGCGGUCGAUUUAGUCGCGUGUGAAAGCCCCCGGCUCAACUGGGGAGGGUCACGCGAUACUGAUCGACUCGAAAGGCAGGAGAGGGUAGUGGAAUUCCCCGGUGUAGUGGUGAAAUGCGUAGAUAAUCGGGAGGAACACCGGGAGGCGAAGGCGGCUCACUGGCCCAACACUGACACUCAGACCCCGAAAGCGUGGGGAUCAAACAGG
rnacentral:rRNA from 1 species